UCCCUGGUGGCUCAGAUGGUAAAGAAUCUGCCUGUAAAGCAGAAGAUCCAGGUUCAAUCCCUGGGUUGGGAA
rfam:TPA: Bos taurus chromosome 20, whole genome shotgun sequence.